AUCUAACCUAUAAUUUAUUAUCAAUUAAAUAAUGAAGGUCAGUCUCAUUAAUUAAUUCAUUCUCUCACAUUUCGCGUAAUUGAGUACUUAGCAAACAUGCAGUAGUACUUACUUUUGCAUUAUUUAUUUAUUUUAGCUCAAUUUUUAUUUAUUAUUAGCCUUUUCGAUUAUUCGACGACUGUAAAACAAUGAAUUUAAAAAUAAACAAGGACCUUCUGCCCAUGAAGGGCCACUAUUUCUUAUGGAACGCUGGUACCGCACCGAUAGUACCUUUCAUGAGCGUGUACGCGCGACAAUUGGGCCUUUCCAGUUUUAUAGUCGGCAUUAUAUACACGGUUCUGUCGUUUUCGGGAAUGCUCGCAAAGCCACUGAUGGGAUCGCUCGCCGACAAGUUCCAGUGCAGAAAGUUGAUAUUUUUAGUAGCUCAGUGCGUGGCGGCUGCCGCUUUUUUCUCGAUGAUUUUCCUACCCCCGAUUCCGCAAACUAAGAGCCUCGCACGGGCUCACUUUGUCUGUGAUGCGGCGGAAGCGGGUUUCGAGAUAUGCCGUGAUAAUUUAGAUAAUUACGCGCUGACAAAGAUACAGAGCAAUGUUAAGGAGAAAGACGUUAUUUGUACAAUGGACUGUCCCUUCAAAGCGAGAGAUUGGGACAUCGCCUGUAAAUAUUGGAACAUCUCGUCGUCUUGCGAGCGUAAAACAUCGCGAAUCACGUUCGAUGCGCGCGUACCCUUAAACCAUUCCUUUCAAAUCGACACCUGCAUUUAUUUCAGAACGCCUAGCGUUACAAUCAAGCAAGCGCAAGACAUCGAACCAUUUUGCCCACUUUACCAUCAGAUCACUACAGACUGCGACAUCAAUUGCAAUGCCCAAGUCAUCGACAACAUGAUGACGACGACUGAACAAGUCACGAACGUCAGCGAUUACCACCAGUUUUGGCUGCUCCUCAUGGUCUACCUGAUCGCGUGGAUCGGACAGGCGGUUACGGUUAGUGUGGCAGACACCCUUUGUUUUCAGCUAUUAGGUCAUAAACCGCACAAGUACGGCUACCAAAGGAUGUGUGGCGCUUUGGGGUGGGGGAUUUUCUCGAUUAUAUCCGGAAUCCUAGUUGACCAGUUCAGCAAUGCGGAUGAGACUGACAAAAACUACGUACCGGUUUUUGGCAUGGGCGUCGCGGUGUUAUUACUGUGCGUAGUUGUUUCUUACCAAAUACAGUAUUCACAUCAGGCGAUUUCAAGCAGUAUUUUAAAAGAUAUGUGUAGGCUCUUAACGAAUAUUCGUAUCUUAGUAUUUACGUUGUGGUGCAUUUGCAUGGGUUUGUGCACGGCAAUGAUGUGGAAUUUUUUGUUUUGGCAUUUGGAAGAUUUGGCGUCCAAACAUAGCUACGAAACGCAAGCUUGCAUUAAGACAAUCGAAGGUUUAGUUAUGGGUAUUCAGUGUCUUGGAGGAGAACUACCCUUCUUUUUUCUCUCCAGUUGGAUACUGAAGCGGAUCGGCCAUGUGCACGCGAUGAGCUUAGUGCUUUUGGUCAUGGGAGUGCGAUUUAUGUUUUAUUCCAUACUGGUAAACCCAUGGUGGACAUUACCGAUAGAAUGUUUAAAUGGACUUACGUUUGGACUGUUCUAUGCCACCAUGGCCUCCUAUGCUAGCAUUGUGGCGCCACCUGGAACUGAAACAACGACACAGGGAAUGGUUGGUGCAGUAUUUGAAGGUGUCGGAGUUUCACUGGGAAGUUUCAUUGCGGGAUUAUUACUUGAAGAGAUUGGUGGCUCAAAAACGUUUAGAGCGUUUGGCAUCUUUGCUCUUGUUGCAUGCCUCAUCCACGCUUUGGUGCAAUACUUAAUACAAGGCAGUGAAAAGUUUCGGAAAGGUGCGUCUAAACCCGCUUAAGUGGCAUGCUAUACAAAGUAUUUUCUCGUACUAUGCACUGUAAAUAGUCAUGUAUUUCCAAAAAAUUAACUGGUGGUGGGAUCUUGUUUUAAUGAAGGUUCAGGUACAUCUAUCGCUUUCUUUUCUUAAAUUAACAACAAUAACAUUCCUCUUGGGUUGAAUGUAGAUGGCGCUAGUACAUAAAUGCCUGGCAACUGACAUUAAUUUGAUAAUUGCUAACAUUGAAACGACCAGCGAAGUAUUAGUGCUAUAACUUCAUAUGGCAUGAGAGCAAAGAUUUUUUACAUUAGAUAGCCAAUGUAUUGGAGUAGUUUCGUGUUGAGAUAGUUUGAAAACAUGUAAUAGGAGGUAUCAUGAAGCACAAAAUCUUCGAGUGAAUAUUACCUUACUUAUUUACAUAGAUUCUGUAGCAAGAUACGCAGCUCCUCAGGAUGCCAUGUUUAUGUUCACCGAGUUUGACGAAGAUCUGCAAGAUAGUUGAAUUAGAACGUGGUGCAGCAGGGUAGUUUUUUUUCUUAGUGUGAUAGCCAAAUAGUAAGAUGUGUUAGAAUUGGUUUUUAGUUUGUGAUUUAGGUUAGUCAGUUGAAACGAUUUUACAAAACUGUUCUAAAUUCGAAAUGGCAUACUUACGCAUACGUCCCAACAUUAAAUUGAUCUCAGCUAUACAUGUACAUUAAGUAAUGUUACUUACAGUAAUUUACCUGAAACAAUAAAAAUUAGUCAUUAUCAUUGGAUUUAUAAAGUGACAUUUUAUUAUCUCUAAAACGUAUAACUUAUUAUUUAGAUAAGCCUAAACGUGGAUAAUUAUUGUUGCUAUCUUGAAACAAUUUUGCAUAAUGAUAAUAUUAAUUUAUUUGAUACAUUGUCACAAUAUACUCUACAGAUACCACUUUUUAUAAGUGUAUGAGUCUUCUUUAUACAGGGUGUGUACAAUAGCAUAACAUUUGCGUGCGGGUAUUAGAUUCUUAAUCGCAGGUAGAGAAGUAGAAAUGAGAUCAUGAUUCAUCAGUCUAAAAUAUAUGUAUGGGGGUCGGCACUGUGAUUGAAUUGACAGUUAUAAUUAUAAGGUUUUGUUCCUCUUUCGCACUUAUAGAUAUAAGGUCACUAUUUUAAUUGUUCCAAGCAAAAAACGGUCGAAUUUUAUAUUGUUGAAAAUUAUGCAAGGUUUGUAUAAAUGCUAAACUGUUGAUGAAUGAUUUGAUAAUUAUAUUUUGUAAAAUUUGUUUAUAA